rnacentral:rRNA from 1 species
GUGGGGAAUCUUGCGCAAUGGGCGAAAGCCUGACGCAGCCAUGCCGCGUGAAUGAUGAAGGUCUUAGGAUUGUAAAAUUCUUUCACCGGGGACGAUAAUGACGGUACCCGGAGAAGAAGCUCCGGCUAACUUCGUGUCAGCAGCCGCGGUAAUACGAAGGGGGCUAGCGUUGCUCGGAAUUACUGGGCGUAAAGGGCGCGUAGGCGGACAGCUUAGUCAGAGGUGAAAGCCCAGGGCUCAACCUUGGAAUUGCCUUUGAUACUGGCUGUCUUGAGUUUGGGAGAGGUGAGUGGAACUCCGAGUGUAGAGGUGAAAUUCGUAGAUAUUCGGAAGAACACCAGUGGCGAAGGCGACUCACUGGCCCAAUACUGACGCUGAGGCGCGAAAGCGUGGGGAGCAAACAGGAUUAGAUACCCGGGUAGUCC